AGGACGAACGCUGGCGGCGUGCUUAACACAUGCAAGUCGAGCGGAAAGGCCCUUCGGGGUACUCGAGCGGCGAACGGGUGAGUAACACGUGAGCAAUCUGCCCUUAGCUUCGGGAUAGCUCCGGGAAACCGGAAUUAAUACCGAAUAUGACUUCGGCCGACAUCGGCCUUGGUGGAAAGUUUUUCGGCUAGGGAUGAACUCGCGGCCUAUCAGCUUGUUGGUGGGGUAAUGGCCUACCAAGGCGACGACGGGUAGCCGGCCUGAGAGGGCGACCGGCCACACUGGGACUGAGACACGGCCCAGACUCCUACGGGAGGCAGCAGUGGGAUAUUGCGCAAUGGGCGAAAGCCUGACGCAGCGACGCCGCGUGGGGAUGAAGGCCUUCGGGUUGUAAACCCCUUUCACCAGGAACGAAUUCAGACGGUACCUGGGGAAGAAGCGCCGGCUAACUACGCGCCAGCAGCCGC
rnacentral:rRNA from 1 species